GCCGGGUGUGGUGGCUCACACCUGUAAUCCCAGCACUUUGGGAGGCUGAGGCAGGGGGAUCACUUGAGAUCAGGAGUUUGAGACCAGCCUGGCCAACAUAGUGAAACCCUGUCUCUA
ensembl:misc_RNA Metazoa_SRP Metazoan signal recognition particle RNA